rnacentral:rRNA from 1 species
CGUAAACGAUGGAUACUAGCUGUUGGGCGCAAGUUCAGUGGCUAAGCGAAAGUGAUAAGUAUCCCACCUGGGGAGUACGUUCGCAAGAAUGAAACUCAAAGGAAUUGACGGGGGCCCGCACAAGCGGUGGAGCAUGUGGUUUAAUUCGAUGAUACGCGAGGAACCUUACCAAGGCUUAAAUGUAGAUUGACCGGUUUGGAAACAGACUUUUCGCAAGACAAUUUACAAGGUGCUGCAUGGCUGUCGUCAG